UGGGUCUAGGUUGGGUCGAGUGUUAAUGGUUAGGUCGAGAUCUCCUUUCACAGGGACGAUGGAGCUGCUGUGAUUAUUAAAGAUGGGUCUGAGGUUUUGUGCCAAAUGAAAGGCUCGAUUGGGUUUGGUUGAGUGCUCCUUUCACAGGAUUAAUUGAUUGGAGCAGAGAUUGGUUUUGAGAAGAAGAACAAGAAAGCAGCUUCAUAUCAGUCCAAGAGAGCAUCAAC